GAUCUGUCUGCUUUAUUGACAUCAUCAGAAGUGUUGAAGUGAGCCAAUCACAAUGCAUAGGAAAGCACUGGAUUGGCUGAGAAUGUCGAGGAGGCAGAUUAGGGGCAGAGCGAGCACAAGCCUUACAAUCGGGGUGUGCCAGGCCACUCCUGGCACCACAACCUGUACAGUGUGUAGUGGCUAUAGAGCUUGAAGUGUUCAUUUAAGGAUUCUAAUGUGUGCCCCCCAAAAAAGUAUAUACAAUGACACUACCACGACAAGUGGAUACAGUUGCCAUAAGGCACAAUUAAUUAAUGGACUCUGUCAGAAAUUACAGAGAAGAACUGAGCUGCAGACAAUAAAUGUUUUUGUUAUAUAAAAUCCAGAAAGUGAACAGGAUUGCAGUAUAAUAUAUGAAUAUGUAUAUAUGAAUUAGCCUACGAUUAAAGGACUGGCUUCCAGUAGUGGGCAUUAGAGUCUAGUAGGAAAGACAGACUGGAGUCCAAUUAGAAGUUUAUGCAGCAUGCAAGAUUGAUCCGAAUGCAGGAAGCAACGAGGGAAUGGAAGGUAUGUCAUUAAGGACUCAUACAGUGUACUCCAGAUUCCAAAUAUAUCAUCUGCAUUUUUUUUUUUUAGAAGAAAUUGACAUGUCCAAUCUUUAAUUGUCCAGUUUUGAGAAUCAUAUGCCGUCAACUGCAGGGAGUGGAAACUGCCAUUUUGGUUAAUUUUAGUAUCUGCUGCCAUUCUUUCAUCUUGGGCUUGGCUUGCCAUUCUCCCCUGACCUUUCUUAUGUCAAGGUGCUUUUACCAACAUCACAAAUAAGCACAAGAUGCUUUAUAUUUAUCACGCCAUUCUCUGUUAGCUCGAGAGACUGCAAUAAUUAAAAACCCCAGGAGGUCACCUGUUUCUGCAACCUCUUACUCAUGUCUGCAUGCUUUGUGUGCGCGCUACAUAACUCACUAUUUGACUAUUUGUGUUAAUGAUCAACUACACAGAAUAAAGUUAACAAUGAG